GGCCGAGCGGCAUAGGCAAGGUGCAAUAGAUGGUAUAAAAUACAGUAUAUACAUGUGAUAUGAGUGUAAUGUAAGACAUGUAAACAUUAUUAAAGUGGCAUUAUUUAAAGUGGCAUUGUUUAAAGCGACUAGUGAUCUAUUUAUUAAAGUGUCCAGUGAUUGGGUCUCAAUGUAGGCAGCAGCCUCUCUGAGUUAGUGAUUGCUGUUUAGCAGUCUGAUGGUCUUGAGAUAGAAGCUGUUUUUCAAUCUCUUGGUCCCAGCUUUGAUGCACCUGUACUGACCUCGCCUUCUGGAUAAUAGCUGUGUGAACAGGCAGUGGCUCGGGUAGAUAUUGUCCUUGAUGAUCUGGCCUUCCUCUGUGUGAACAGGCAGUGGCUCGGGUAGAUAUUGUCCUUGAUGAUCUGGCCUUCCUGUGACAUCGGGUGCUGUAGGUGUCAUGGAGGGCAGGUAGUUUGACCCCGGUGAUGCGUUGUGCAGACCGCACCACUCUCUGAACAGCCUUGUGGUUGAGGGCGGUGCAGUUGCCGUACCAGGCUGUGAUACAGCCCGACAGGAUGCUCUCGAUUGUGCAUCUGUAAAAGUUUGUCAGGGUUUUGGGUGACAAGCCACAUUUCUUCAGCCUCCUGAGGUUGAAGAGGCACUGUUGCGCCUUCUUCCCCACACUGUCUUUGUGGGUGGACUAUUUCAGUUUGUCUGUGAUGUGUACGCCGAGGAAAGUAAAACUUCCCACCUUCUCCACUGGUGUCACUUCGAUGUGGAUAGGGGGGUGCUCCCUCUGCUGUUUGCUGAAGUCCACGAUCAUCUCCUUUGUUUUGUUGAUAUUGAGUGAGAGGUUGUUUUCCUGACACCACACUCCGAGUGCCAUUACCUCCUCCCUGUAGGCUGUCUUGUUGUUGUUGGUGAUCAGGCCCACUACUGUUGUGUCGUUUGCAAACUUCAUGAUUGAGUUGGAGGCCAUGCAUGGCCAUGCAGUCGUGGGUGAACAGGGAGUAAAGGAGAGGGCUGAGCACACACUCUUGUGGGGCCCCAAGUGUUGAGGGUCAGCAAAGUGGAGAUGUUGUUUCCUACCUCCACCACCUGGUGGCAGCCCGUCGGAAAGUGCAGGACCCUGUUGCACAGGGCGGGGUUGAGCCCCAGUGCCUCCAGUUUGAUGAUGAGCUUGGAGGUAUUAUUUUUGUCCAGAUGGGAUAGUGUGAUGGCAAUUGCGUCAUUAGUGGAGCUGUUGACGCGGUAUGCAAACUGAAGUGGGUCUAGGGUGGCUGGUAAGAUGUCGGUGAUAUGAUCCUUGACUAGCCUCUCAAAGCACUUCAUGAUGGCAGAAGUAAGUGCUACUGGGUGAUAGUCAUUUAGUUCAGUUAUCUUUGCCUUCUUGGGUACAGGAACAAUGGUCUUGAAGCAUGUGGGGACAACAGACUGGGAUAGGGAGCGAUUGAAUAUGUCCUUAAGCACACCAGCCAGCAGGUCUGUGCAUGCUCUGAGUUCACAGCUAGGGAUGCUGUCUGGGCCAGCAGCCUUUCGAGGGUUAACAAGUUGAAAUGUUCUACUCACGUCAGCCACAGAGAAGGAGAGGGAGGGUGGACGCAGUCUUUUCUAGCGAGCCGCGAUGGCGGCACUGUACAUUCCUCAAAGCGGCCAAAGAAUGUGUUUAGUUUGUCUGGAAGCGUGACAUCGGUGACCGUGACGUGGCUGUUUUUGUUUUUGUAGUCCAUAAUUUCCUGUAGACCCUGCCACAUACGCCUCAUGUCUGAGCCAUUUAAUUGCGACUCCACCUUGUCCCUGUACCGGUUUUUCACUUGUUUGAUUGGCUUGCGGAGGGAAAAACUACACUAUUUAAAUUCAGCCAAAUUUCCAGACCUCUUUCCAUGGUUAAAUGCAGUGGAUCGCGCUUUCAGUUUUGCAUGAAUGCCGCCAUUUCUGGGUAGGGUAGGUUUUAAUAGUCACAGUGGGGACAACAUCUUCAAUGCACUUCUUAAUAAACACACUCACUAAGUCAGCAUAUAGGUCAAUGUUGUUCUCUGAGGCUGACCGGAACAUAUUCCAGUCUGCGUGAUCAAAACUAUCGUAAAGCGUGGCUUCCAAAUGGUCAGAUCAGCGUUGAAUGGUUCUCGUCACUGGUACAUCCUGUUUGAGUUUCUGCCUAUAAGACGGAACGAGCAAGAUGGCGUCGUGGUCGGAUUUGCUGAAGGGAGGGCGAGGGAGGGCUUUGUAUGUAUCGUGGAAGUUAGAGUAGCAGAGAGUAUUAGACUGAGAGUAUUAGCUCUGCAAGUCAUACAAUCAAUAUGCUGAUAGAAUUUAGGUAGCCUUGUUCUCAAAUUUGAUUUAUCCCCAAGUACAAUAAAUGCAGAUAUAUGAUUUCCAGUUACAUAGAGUCCAAUGAAGUUCCUUGAGGGCCGUCUUGUUGUUUACUUGAGGGGGAAUGUACACAGCUGUGACUAUAACUGACGAGAAUGCUCUUGGUAGGUAAAAUGGCCGGCAUUUGAUUGUAAGUAAUUCUAGGUCGGGUUGAGUUCUAACCAAAGACAGUACAGUAUAAAGAUAGACAGAUACUGCUUCUCCAAUAGAAAUCUCCUCUCACACUUGUAGGCGAUGUCAUGGCGACAUUGGCUAGCUAAACUCGUGCUCAGAAACAGGGUCUAACAGCCUUCUCGUGUCGAACUAUGCAUGUGCAGGCUGUCAAAUCAAAGACAUUCCUUCGAUAUAAAGUUGUUUUUGACAAAAAUGAAAAUGUGUCUAUUUGUCACUCCCGCAAGGUUGGAGUAAUAAUGUUCAAUUACUUAAGAAAUUGGCUUGGUUUUCAUUUACAUUUCGAGAAAAUGUAAAAUAAAUUGACUUCUCUCUCAUUGACUUCUCAAAACCCGGCCUGGUCUGCUUUGGUCUGUUUCGCAAGCGUUCCCUGAUGUCUCUCGAUGUUGCGCCUCUGGGUUUAGAAACUCUGUGCUCUAACCAUAAGGCCACAUGAGUUGUCUCAUGUUUCAUGAGAAUGUGAUUAAAAUGUGAAUAAUGGAUAAAGGUUUAUUUGGGAGCUGACUUGAUAAUAUGGAAAUUAGUCAAAUGUAC
ensembl:lncRNA